CCUACGGGAGGCAGCAGUGGGGAAUUUUGGACAAUGGGCGCAAGCCUGAUCCAGCCAUGCCGCGUGAGUGAAGAAGGCCUUCGGGUUGUAAAGCUCUUUCAGGCGGAAAGAAAUCGCACUUAUUAAUACUAAGUGUGGAUGACGGUACCGUCAGAAGAAGCCCCGGC
rnacentral:rRNA from 1 species